CCUACGGGAGGCAGCAGUGAGGAAUAUUGGUCAAUGGGCGCGAGCCUGAACCAGCCAAGUAGCGUGAAGGAUGACUGCCCUACGGGUUGUAAACUUCUUUUAUAAAGGAAUAAAGUGAGGCACGUGUGCCUCUUUGUAUGUACUUUAUUAAUAAGGAUAGGCUAACUCCGUGCCAGCAGCCGCGGUAAUACGGAGGAUCCGAGGGUUAUCCGGAUUUAUUUGGUUUAAAGGGGGCGUAGAUGGGUUGUUAAGUCAGUUGGGAAAGUUUGUGGGUCAACCGUAAUAUUGCAAUUGAUACUGGCAGCCUUGAGUACAGUAGAGGUAGGCGGAAUGCGUGGUGUAGCGGUGAAAUGCUUAGAUAUCACGAAGAACUCCGAUUGCGAAGGCAGCUUACUAGACUGCCACUGACAUUGAUGCUCGAAAGUGUGGGUAUCAAACAGGAUUAGAUACCCCGGUAGUC
rnacentral:rRNA from 1 species